UAGAGAUCCCUGUUGUGAUUGGUCAGCUCUGGCCCUGGACGAGCCCAGCUGGCCAGCUCUGGGGCCAUCUUCCAGUGCAGUGUUGGAUCAUGUGAUCAUGAAGCUUCUAACACUGUCUGGUAAAGAUGCCCUCCGGGUUGGUUCUCCCUUCGAUGAC
rnacentral:miRNA from 1 species